rnacentral:rRNA from 1 species
GACGAACGCUGGCGGCGUGCUUAAUACAUGCAAGUCGAACGGAAAGGCCCUGCUUUUGUGGGGUGCUCGAGUGGCGAACGGGUGAGUAACACGUGAGUAACCUGCCCUUGACUUUGGGAUAACUUCAGGAAACUGGGGCUAAUACCGGAUAGGAGCUCCUGCUGCAUGGUGGGGGUUGGAAAGUUUCGGCGGUUGGGGAUGGAUUCGCGGCUUAUCAGCUUGUUGGUGGGGUAGGGGCUUACCAAGGCUUUGACGGGUAGCCGGCCUGGGAGGGUGACCGGCCACAUUGGGACUGAGAUACGGCCCAGACUCCUACGGGAGGCAGCAGUGGGGAAUCUUGCACAAUGGGCGGAAGCCUGAUGCAGCAACGCCGCGUGCGGGAUGACGGCCUUCGGGUUGUAAACCGCUUUCGCCUGUGACGAAGCGUGAGUGACGGUAAUGGGUAAAGAAGCACCGGCUAACUACGUG